rnacentral:rRNA from 1 species
CAAUAGCGUAUAUUAAAGUUGUUGCAGUUAAAAAGCUCGUAGUUGGAUUUCUGGUGAGAUGGAUUAUGUCUAGGUCGAAAGAUCUUGUUCAUGGUUCGUUUUGCCCUUCUUGUCAGGAACCCACUGAGAUUCGCGUCUUGUCGGUGGAAUGGCAUCGUUUACUGUGAAAAAAUUAGAGUGUUCAAAGCAGGCAUCGCCGUUGAAUACAUUAGCAUGGAAUAAUAAGAUAAGACUUUGGUGGUCUAUUUUGUUGGUUUGCACGCCAAGGUAAUGAUUAAUAGGGAUAGUUGGGGGUAUUCGUAUUCUAUUGCUAGAGGUGAAAUUCUUAAAUUUAUGGAAGACGAACUACUGCGAAAGCAUUUACCAAGGAUGUUUUCAUUAA